CCUACGGGAGGCUGCAGUGGGGAAUAUUGGACAAUGGGCGAAAGCCUGAUCCAGCCAUGCCGCGUGUGUGAAGAAGGCCUUCGGGUUGUAAAGCACUUUCAGUGGGGAAGAAAGCCUUGGGGCUAAUACCCUCGAGGAAGGACAUCACCCUCCGAAGAAGCACCGGCUAACUCCGUGCCAGCAGCCGCGGUAAUACGGAGGGUGCGAGCGUUAAUCGGAAUUACUGGGCGUAAAGCGCGCGUAGGCGGUCUGAUAAGCCGGUUGUGAAAGCCCCGGGCUCAACCUGGGAACGGCAUCCGGAACUGUCAGGCUAGAGUGCAGGAGAGGAAGGUAGAAUUCCCGGUGUAGCGGUGAAAUGCGUAGAGAUCGGGAGGAAUACCAGUGGCGAAGGCGGCCUUCUGGACUGACACUGACGCUGAGGUGCGAAAGCGUGGGUAGCAAACAGGAUUAGAUACCCGAGUAGUC
rnacentral:rRNA from 1 species